rnacentral:rRNA from 1 species
GUCUACGGCCAUGCCACCCUAAACAAACCCGAUGUCUGAUCUUGGAAGCUAAGCAGGGUCAGGCCUGGUUAGUACUUGGAUUAGAGACCACUUAGGAAGACCAGGUGCUGUAGGCA